GGCUGGAUAGCUCGGUUGGCAGAGCACCAGAAUGGCAAUCCGGAGAUCGCAGGUUCAAACCCAGCUCCAGUCA
rnacentral:tRNA from 1 species